rnacentral:misc_RNA from 1 species
GGCAACCCUAAUUUCUCAAUCAAUAAGCUACUAGCAACAUUGUAGUAACUACCACUAUCCACAAUCACACUACAUAGUUUCUCAUUCACCAAACAUCUAGUAUGAAAAAUAUUGUCCCUUUGCACCUCAUCCCUAUCACCCAAACUGACACUGUCCCUCAUCCCCUAGCAACAUUGCAGUAACUACUACUAUCCACAAUCACACUACGUAUUCUCGAUUGACACUGUCUUUUGC